GCCAGAGCAACAGGGAAAAAUCCACAUUGGAAUGAACACACUCACCUUUAGAUACUGACAGGCCGCUCUCAGCUCUCCCUGCAGCCCUCCCUUCUCCAUGCUGCACAGCCCCAGCUCUCUCAGCCUGUCCUGUAGGAGAGGUGUUUCAUCCUGGGAUCAUUUUUGUGGCCCUCCUCUGGACAUGCUCUGAAAGCUCCAUGUCUCUCCUGUACUGAAGGCUCCAUGUCUGGAUGCGGUGCUCCAGGUGAGGCCUCACAGUGCAGAGCAGAGGGGCAGGAUCACCUCCCUGACUCCUCCUGUGAGGCAGGACCUGCCCUUGGGGAAGCUCUGCUGGUUAUCCCACAUCACCUCCCUCUUGUGGUUUAACCUGGCAGGUGGCUGAGCACUGCACAGUCAGUUGCCCAGUCCCCAUCUUCCCAGUGGAAUGAGGGGGAGAAUCAGGAAAAAACACAAAGUACAACUCAUGGAUUGAGAUAAAACUAUUUACUGAGGUAAUGAAAAAGAUAAUAAUUAUGACAUAUAGAAUAUCCCUUUGGCCAGUUUAAGUCAGCUGUCCUCACUCUGUUCCCUCCCAGCUCCUUGGGCCCUUUGCUGAGAACAGCCUUGGCUCUGUCCAACACUGCUUAGCAGCAGCUGUGAACAUCGGUGUGUUACCAACGUUGUUUCUCUCCUAGAACCAAAACAGCAUCAUGGCGGCACUCUGAGGAAAACAGUUCCACCCCAGCUGAAAUGAAGACCCCUCUCCUCCAUGUUCCUUAGCAUAGCUUUCAGGAGGAUCUGCUCCAUGAUCUUCCCUAGCACAGAGGUGAGGCUGACAGGUCGGCAGUUCCCUUGGUUGUCCUUUCUAUCCUUAAAAAUGGGUGCGACAUUGCCUUUUUUCCAGCCAUCAGGAACUUCACCUGCCUGCCAUUACUCUUCAAAUAUCAUCAAGCCAAUUCCCUCAGGACUCUGGGAUGCAUCUCAUGGGGACCCAUAGACUUACAGAUGUUCAGGUUUCUCGGGUGUCAGAGAACCUGAUCUUUGCUUACAGUGGGAGGGGCACUGCUCCCCCAGUUCUAACCUUCUGAACUGAACAAGCCUUUCUUGUUCUUUGCUAAAGUCCAGUUCCAGCUGGGUCUUGACCUGUCUGAUCCCAUCCCUACACAGCCCAGAAGCAUCCCUAUACUCCUCCCAGAACACCUGUUCCUGCUUCCACUCGGUGACAUCCUGCUGUCUGACAAAGAUUCACAGUGGUUAGUCACUGGAUAUCUCAGUGUGACAUUAGUAUAAACAAGCAAUUGGAAACAUUGCUAAAAUCAGUCUUCAGUCUGGUAUCAAGCACAGAAUAAAGGAAACUGUAUUGAAAAUCAAAAUAAAACAUCAGGAGUCCAUGUUGAGGUUUGAUCUCCUCUAGCACCUAAGAUAUGGUUUACUUUUCCAACCACUCCAAAGCCCUAGUCUGCAUCGAUGCGGAUAGGAAUGGACAGUGACCUUCAGUCAGUUAUGCCAGGGUUCCUGCAGGCUUCAGUGCAGCAGACGAGAGGUCAGUGAACUCUUUCAGUGGGCUAAGGGCAGGCUCCUGUUUGCAUUUGCCUACAAGAAUGCAGAGAGAGGAAACCUGAAAUGCGUCUCUCCAGUUCACUGGCUAGAGAUGAAAAUACAAACUGUAAAAUGCUUUUAUUCUCCACAAGCACAGAGGUUUGGGGUGUCUCAGUGACUGCAGAUUGUCACUGCUGGCCCCAUGGGAAGCAGAGCUCUGCUCCUGGGGCUGCUCCGACACACCGUGAUGAAUCCCAGGAGACCUGGGGAUGCCCGCUAGGGUCUGGCCUGCGGGAGGAAGAUGCAGGGUUUGGAGGGGGGUGAUGGUUGGGCGUGUGGUCUGGGUGAGCGCAGGGAUAAGCAGCAGAGGGGACAGCCACAACAUGGGGUUUUCUGAACUUCUCACCUUUUUGCACAGUGGUUUGCAGCAGAAGGGCCAAGGGAAGAGUAGAUCUCACUCUUACCUCCACUCAGACCUUCCCGGCUCUAAGAAACACACUGCUCCAAACGAACGCUGCUGCAGUGCUCGGUGUUUAACUCCCCAUGCAGCACAGAACUACUGUCAUUGUCUUCAAUGGGGCUUUGCCUGAGAAAAAAACAGGGAUUGAAUUAGUUAUUUGCUUCAGAGAUCAUCUUAGGUGAGUCAUACCUAUAAGCAGCUUGGAAAUGUGGCAAUUCAGAGCAGUAUAUGGAAUGAACUAGACUGUAUCUAGACUGUAUGUGAGUGUGUUCUUCCACAAACUAACAGGCGCUGUGCUUACCACCAAUACCAACCAGUAACCAAACCCACUGGAAUAUCUCCAUCCAUGCAACUAAAGAAAAAGCCUUAAAUAGUUUAUAGUUCAGAGUUAAAACAAUUCAUUAACAAUAAGUAACUCGUAUAACUGGGAUCAGUAGGUGAUUUUUUCUGAGCUCUAUCAUUUCUAGGUAUGUACGUUACAGCCACAGGCAAACACAUUGCACUGCUCUGCUUUUUACACUGUGGUGUGCAGCCCAACCACGUAUACAACCCUCACGUUUCUGCCUCUCUCUCUCAAAUCAUAGUAUGAAUCUCAGGCCUUUAAAUUAAGUUUAUGCCAUGCUUCUGGAUGCUGCCGAGCGUCGUGUGCAAGAAUGACAUCAUUGUUUCUGGAGUUACGACCCAACAUGAAAAGAGGAAAAUCAGAAGCAGACUUUUUAAGAGGAAAAUAUCAAAAGAAAUGAGCACCAUGAAUGCAGCAUACGGUGCUUCUGGGUGCCGUAAACGUUUUCUCAUUCCUUGCUCGGGAAGAGCUGCACGACACGCCAGCAGCGCGGCCAUCCCCAGCGCAGCAGGCUGCUCGGCCGCCAGCCCGUUU
ensembl:lncRNA